GACGAACGCUGGCGGCGUGCCUAAUACAUGCAAGUCGAACGAAGCUGUUUUAACUGGUGCUUGCACCGACUUAAACAACUGAGUGGCGAACGGGUGAGUAACACGUGGGUAACCUGCCCCAAAGCGGGGGAUAAUAUUUGGAAACAGAUGCUAAUACCGCAUAAUCACAGAAACCACAUGGUUUCUGUGUCAAAGAUGGUUUCGGCUAUCACUUUGGGAUGGACCCGCGGCGUAUUAGCUAGUUGGUAAGGUAAUGGCUUACCAAGGCAAUGAUACGUAGCCGAACUGAGAGGUUGAUCGGCCACAUUGGGACUGAGACACGGCCCAAACUCCUACGGGAGGCAGCAGUAGGGAAUUUUCCACAAUGGACGAAAGUCUGAUGGAGCAACGCCGCGUGAGUGAAGAAGGUUUUCGGAUCGUAAAACUCUGUUGUCAGAGAAGAACGUGUGCGAGAGUAACUGUUCGUGCAGUGACGGUAUCUGGCCAGAAAGCCACGGCUAACUACGUGCCAGCCGCCGCCGUAA
rnacentral:rRNA from 1 species